rnacentral:lncRNA from 1 species
AAGAAAUAAAAUGAAGUGUAUAUAAGGUAUCGACGUAUCUCGUGUUAAAUCUUCUUCACUGAAGCAUCGCGACUAUCUCAAUGCAUUUCUUAACAUGAGAAUGGACAAAAAGUAGAUACAAAUCUGCUCAAUCGAUGUUCUUGUACGAUAUUACUAUCUCGACCAUGAAAUAUACAAACUUUCGUGUGGCAUAUCAGGAAUAUUUUAAGAAAUUAGGGAACAAAUUU